GUGACUUGGAAUAAGGUUCUAGUAAAAGUGCUUUAAAAUUUAUAAUAUACUUUCCUUACAUAAACCCUUUGAGGUAAGUAACAUAAGCAUCAUUAUUUCCUUUUUAUAGACAAGAAAGCUGUGUUUCAGAGAAGUUAAAUGAUUUGUGUAUGUUUACACAACUACUAAGUGUCAGAGUACAGUGAUGCGGAUAAUGGAUUCCAAAGAGCUACUGAAGCAAGUCUGGAAUUUGAUGGAUCCAUCUUGGAGAAUGUUUACAUUGUUUAUGCUAUUGUAAACAAUUUGAAUCUUUUUUUAAAGGAGAGACAGAAAUUGCUUUCUGAGGACAGCCCCACCCAACAAUUAUCCUGGAGUUUCAGGUAAUGGAGCUCAACAUUUCUGUGGUUUACGUUAGGGCUAUUCUGACUUUCUUUUCAAAAAUCAAAGACUUUGCC
rnacentral:lncRNA from 1 species